rnacentral:rRNA from 1 species
ACAAUGUUGCUCCACCCAUAAUAUCUCUCACCUUACUCGGGUAAGGAAUUGAUGUAUUGAAGCGGACAUUGGCCCCCCGUGCCUUACAGGUGCGGUCGGCUCAAAAUUUGGCCCUCGGGGAUGAGCGUCACAAUCAGUGGUGGUUUGAAAACCCCUUUGUCGUUGAUCGGAGUUGUGUCGCCUCACCCCAUAUCAGGCUAUGCGGAUCCUUGUUUGUCGUUAGCACGACAUUCACUUU